CACCGACAGGAGGAAAGUGGGUCGUUACUGCACGAGAUGGCAUGGCGGCGUGCCGGCCGGCCGGCCGCAGAUCCUGCUCGAGUGAUUUGUCUCACGGUUGAUCUUGGGAAUGUGGUGUACUCCAUGUCCGCCCACAUCGUCGUCAGUCCUUGCAUCAAGGAGGAGAGCGUGUGCUUGAUCUGAUCCAUGAUUUAUAUUGGAUGAAAAGUUCGUGGAAGUCACAGGAUGGAUCAGCUAGCUGCAAGAAGGACCUCAUUUUAAUCCUAAUAAUAAGUCACAUGAAGUACCGGUGGAUGAUGACAUGACAUGUGGGUGACCGGCGAAGCAUACAAGCCAACAAAGAUGGCAUUGCAGAAGUUUGAUGAAGGACUUAUAGGUUCCGUUGGCUUGAAGGAUAAUAUAUCAUUUGACCAUCUUGGUAUAAUAAUUGUUGUAUUGGUAUUCGUUUCUCUUCUUGCAUGAAGAUUUCAUUAAGCUGACCUCACUCCAUACUGGGAAGGACAGUUCUUGUUCAUGAUGAUUCUAAUGAUCUAGGAAAGGGUAAGGGUGGUUCCAUCUCGCCUCCAAUCCACCGUCGUCCCUACAGAAGGUGUUUUUUUUUCUUGAUGUGCUAUGUUUAUUUAUACCCUGAUUUCUUUUUGGCCCCUCUAAAUAAACUUACAGCAGUGGGCUUAGUUCUGCAUGCAAUUGAUGGUGCGGGUGAUUCUUCUUAGAUCCUAAAAACAUCUCUGUAUAAAGUGGCUGCUAAUCUUGUGCCCGGAAUUGUGAUUUCCAAAAAACAUGUUGUUUUUACUGUGUUAAUUUUUAUAGUUGUUCAAGAAUCAAGAUGAGUUAUUUGCUACAUCAAAGAUUGUGAUGUCAUUGGGCACCAACGGAGGCGGACUGCAUCGAGGCGGGCUGUGUGCCGCUGCUCGAUGCCUAGAAAUCAAUUCGGCUGCGUUCAGGCAAAAUGGCUUCCAUUCAAGCUAGCUUUCCGAGGAAGCUUCUCAGAAGGUCCUUGGAUGGGGGAGGUUAACUUCAUCAUUCUUUCCCUUCAGUAGUUUUCACGAGCAGGACAAUUUUCGAUAAAAGUGAACAGGCUGAUUUCUUGACAAACAGAUGAAGGCCAGGCUACUAUUUA